rnacentral:rRNA from 1 species
UACGGGGGGAGCAAGCGUUGUUCGGAAUUACUGGGCGUAAAGGGCGCGUAGGCGGCCCGCUAAGUCGAACGUGAAAUCCCCGAGCUCAACUCGGGAACUGCGUCCGAUACUGGCGGGCUUGAAUCCGGGAGAGGGAUGCGGAAUUCCAGGUGUAGCGGUGAAAUGCGUAGAUAUCUGGAGGAACACCGGUGGCGAAGGCGGCAUCCUGGACCGGCAUUGACGCUGAGGCGCGAAAGCGAGGGGAGCAAACGGG